GCCAGCCCGCCGACCGAGGCGGGCGACCUGUCGCAGACGGCCUCAUCCGAGGAGUCGCCGCCCGAGUCGGCCGGCCGCGCGCGCCAGCUGACCCCGCCAGACACAACCGGCAAGGCAGGCAGGGUCAAGGUCAUCAGGGCUACGCCUCAGCCGGCGCGACAGCGAGGCGCCAACAUAGCGAUGCCGGUGGACUGGAGGCAGCUUCAUCCAGCGGGCGCCGGCCAAGCCGUCCGCCGAAGAGCUGGAGGAGCGGCGUCGGCAGGAGCUGCAGCGCAAGCGCGAGCGCGAGGAGGAGGCGCGCCGCAAGCGCGAUGACAAGCUCAGACAGCGCGUGGAGGAGGAGCGACAGAAGCGCGAGGAGCGCCAGCAGCGCGCGCUGGAGAUGC